CUCAACCUGUGGCCUCUGCAAGAGCAACCAGCACUCCUGUCACUGGGCCAUCUGCCUCACUCCAAGGCUAGUGAAAACGACUGUGUCAGUCCACUGCAGUUGCUAAAGCUAUAAACCUCACACAUGAAGAAUCAACUUAUUACAUGUGAAAAGGCCACCAGGAAGUAGCAACAGAGACAAAGACGCUACGAAUCCAAAGUAUCCAUGAUAAUAAGAACGAAUAUAACAAGACCAG